CGGAUGUGUCCAAAUGGAUCAAGGCAGUGGA
rnacentral:tRNA from 1 species